rnacentral:rRNA from 1 species
GAUGAACGCUGGCGGCGUGCCUAAUACAUGCAAGUCGAGCGAACAGACGAGGAGCUUGCUCCUCUGACGUUAGCGGCGGACGGGUGAGUAACACGUGGAUAACCUACCUAUAAGACUGGGAUAACUUCGGGAAACCGGAGCUAAUACCGGAUAAUAUAUUGAACCGCAUGGUUCAAUAGUGAAAGACGGCUUUGCUGUCACUUAUAGAUGGAUCCCCGCCGCAUUAGCUAGUGGGUAAGGUAACGGCUUACCAAGGCAAGGAUGCGUAGCCGACCUGAGAGGGUGAUCGGCCACACUGGAACUGAGACACGGUCCAGACUCCUACGGGAGGCAGCAGUAGGGAAUCUUCCGCAAAGGGCGAAAGCCUGACGGAGCAACGCCGCGUGAGUGAUGAAGGUCUUCGGAUCGUAAAACUCUGUUAUUAGGGAAGAACAAAUGUGUAAGUAACUAUGCACGUCUUGACGGUACCUAAUCAGAAAGCCACGGCUAACUACGUG